GAUGCUGUUCUUCUAGGGUCUUCAUCUUCGCUGACAUUCCAAGAAUCUCCUGAUCUCUGCGUUGUACUUCUGCUCGGAAUUCGUCCAGCUGUGAAAAUAUUUGCCAUCGAGGUACUUCCGUCAGUGUACAAGGUAACAUCAUUAUCGAUUCAAGUUAUCAAAAGCGUGAAUAUAGAGAACAAGAAGUACUGUACGUCAUGCGGCAUCAUGCUUUUUGAAAAUUGAUCAUGCUUGUGCAGUGCUGGCGUUGCGUGAAAAGAGAACGAAAACCAAAGAAAAAAAAACAUAACAACAACAAGAACACAAAGAAAAAACUAGUA